CCACUGUACAGGUUAAUCUAGCACCAGCUAGCAUGACAAACAGGUACAUGAUCAGAUACAUGAGUAUGACAAUUAAUGCACUUACGUUGGGCAGAGCGCCUCUUAAAGAACAGCAGUGCAGCAAGGAGUCCAAUGAUCAGAGAGCCUAUGACUGCAACCGGGGCUAGCCAUUUGGUGGUGGAGACAAUAUCCAAGUGGUCACUUUUAAUACCUGGACAGACAAAAUGGACAGAAAUUAGGAGUUACAAAAUAAAUAGGCAAUUCAUAUGAAGUCAAGAGAAAAAGUGUCACGACUUCCGCCGAAGUCGGCCCUUCUCCUUGUUCGGGUGGUGUUCGGCGGUCGACGUCACCGGCUUUCUAGUCACUACCGAUCCAUUUUUCUGUUUCGUUUUGUUUCGUCUGAUUACAUACACACAUGUUUUACAUUCCCUCCUUCUGUUCUGUCCGUGAUUGUUUAUGUCGUUGUGUUCGUGUUAGAGUUUUGUUUUAUGUUCCAUUUUGGAAUUUUGCUUUAUUCUUUAAGUAAAUUCAGUUGGAUUACUCCAUACCUGCGCCUGACUCCGCUUUCACUCUGCACCCAAUCGCUGACAGAAUCACGGACCAUUCAAAUGGAAUCAGCAGGUACAGCCAGCCCUUCUCUCCCAGUAGAGGAGCGAGUUCAGCAGCACGCGACCAUGUUAAACCGGCUAGGGCCAGCCAUGGAUCGCAUGUUGUAAACUAUGGACAGAUGGGAGAGGAGGCUUUCCUGUCAACGCUACUACACCUCCACCCGCGCCUCAACCUACACCGAUGUCCACCCCUCUGUCGUCAAGUCCCCGUGGAAUUCAGGCUCUUGCUCACAGGAGCCAGGGUAUCCUACUCCAGCUGGAGCUCUACCUGGCAGCUCUUCAGCCGGCACCUUCCGGACGUGAGAGAGUGGGCGCUCUCAUCUCCUGCCUGACUGGAAAAGCCCUGGAGUGGGCCAACGCCAUCUGGGGAAGGGAAGGUCCGACUCUGGAUGACUAUGAGGACUUCUCCCUCCGCUUCCAUCUGGGGAAGAGAAGGACCGACUCUGGAUGACUAUGAGGUCUUCUCCCUCCGCUUCCAUCUGGGGAAGGGAAGGACCGACUCUGGAUGACUAUGAGGACUUCUCCCUCCGCUUCCAUCUGGGGAAGAGAAGGACCGACUCUGGAUGACUAUGAGGUCUUCUCCCUCCGCUUCCAUCUGGGGAAGGGAAGGACCGACUCUGGAUGACUAUGAGGACUUCUCCCUCCGCUUCCAUCUGGGGAAGGGAAGGUCCGACUCUGGAUGACUAUGAGGAUUUCUCCAUCCGCUUCCAUCUGGGGAAGGGAAGGUCCGACUCUGGAUGACUAUGAGGACUUCUCCCUCCGCUUCCAUCUGGGGAAGGGAAGGUCCGACUCUGGAUGACUACAGGACUUCUCCCGCCGCUUCCAUCUGGGGAAGGGAAGGACCGACUCUGGAUGACUAUGAGGACUUCUCCCUUUGUUUCAUCUAAGAGUUUGUUUCAUCUAAGAAAGGAGAUGAGGAGCGCUCAAGAGUUCGCACUGGACUUCCGCACUGGACUCUGGCAGCUGGUGCGGGAUGGAAUGAGCGGGCCCUGAUCGACCACUACAGGUGUAGUUUACGUGAGGACGUUCGAAUGGAGCUAGCCUGCAGGGACACUACUCUCAACCUGGACCAGCUGGUGGACUUGUCUAUCCGGCUGGAUAACCUGUUGGCCUCCCGUGGACGUCUGGAUUGGGGUCCGCCCGUUCCAUUACCCAGCACAUUGGAUCCCACACCUAUGGAGCUACGAGGGGGACCGGAGGGGGGACCAUUCCCUGCACCAGCUGUGGCCGCAGAGGGCACACUGCUGGUCGGUGCUGAGGGGGUUCUCCAGGAGGUCGAGGUAGCAGGCGGAGCACUGGUGGGUCAUCCCAGGUGAGUAGGCACACAACUCACCCAAAGCCCCCUGUUGCACACAUGUGGUUACCUGUAGAAUUUCCUGAGUUCUCCCCACAUUCCCAGCAUAAGGAGCUAGUAGAUUCAGGCGCAGCUGGGAACUUUAUUGACCGCUCCUUAGCACAUAGAUUAGGGAUCCCUAUUGUUCCUGUUGAUGUUCCUUUCCCUGUACAUGCCUUAGAUAGUCGUCCUUUGGGGUCAGGGCUAAUUGGCGAGGGGAUUGUGCGAUAGAUCUCUUGGUAGAUGCUGCACAUCCCAGGAGUCAUGUGUAUCCUCUGUCACAGGAGGAGACGGUGGCUAUGGAGACAUAUGUCACCGAAUCUCUGGGACAGGGAUACAUUCAACCUUCCAUCUCACCUGUCUCCUCAAGUUUAUUUUUUGUGAAGGAUGGAGGUUUGCGCCUGUGUAUUGAUUAUCGAGGUUUAAAUAAGAUCACGGUAAAAUACAGUUACCAGCUAACGCUCAUAGCCAG
ensembl:lncRNA